rnacentral:lncRNA from 1 species
GGAAAGGAGGGUGGUGAGAUUACAAAAAUCCCAAUGAGUAAACAGACAUCAUCAUAAACAUUUAGAGUUGAGUACAUGGAGACAAUAAAGUAAAUCAUCGUAAACUGAGUCACAGUAUUAGAAUACAUUUCAUUUAAAAUACGUGAAGAGGCUUAUGAAUCUCAUAAAAACUAGGCUUGUGCCAUAAAUUCAUUCUCAGGGACACCUUGGCCGAGGCAUCCUACCGAGACCGUCAAGGCUAUUAAAAUUCACAUUUCACAUAAAU